GCUUCUCUCUCCAAAGCGUGGAUGAAAUUAUGAAAAUUGUUGGGGAGGCUAGAAACCCACCGCCAUCAUCAAGACCUGUCAAAGGUUUUGGAUGGGCAACAGACGAUGACGAAGAAAGCAAUGGGGAUGUUGAUAGAGUCGAUAGAGAGGUGGAAAAAGAGGAAGAAGACGAGUAUGAUAAGAGAGUGAAAGAAGUCCAUGCAAGUGGAGAAUACUUGGUCAAUUAGAAGUGCAGUUCUCCAAUUACUAUUCAUUCAAGUUUGUGUGCUUAGAUUAUUGCGUAUGUUUUUGUCGUCUUUGUGUGUAUAGUCUGUUAAUAUUUAUAAUAGCACACUGCAGUCGUAUUUUCGCAGACUUGAAGAUCAGUCUUUCACAUAUAGUUUGUUGGUUUUUAGGGUCUGCUGUGCUUGUGUAAGUCAAUCAUUUUUGUUUGUCACUCAAAUGUAUGAUUGAAGAAGCUGUGUUAUUAGCAUACAACUCAUAGUAGGUGGAAGGAUUUUUGGUUUGUAAAACCUUGUGCUUACUACUCAAUGAUGAUGAAUGAAA
rnacentral:misc_RNA from 1 species